ACGAACGCUGGCGGCGUGCCUAAUACAUGCAAGUAGAACGCUGAAGAGAGGAGCUUGCUCUUCUUGGAUGAGUUGCGAACGGGUGAGUAACGCGUAGGUAACCUGCCUUGUAGCGGGGGAUAACUAUUGGAAACGAUAGCUAAUACCGCAUAACAAUGGAUGACACAUGUCAUUUAUUUGAAAGGGGCAAUUGCUCCACUACAAGAUGGACCCGCGUUGUAUUAGCUAGUAGGUGAGGUAAUGGCUCACCUAGGCGACGAUACAUAGCCGACCUGAGAGGGUGAUCGGCCACACUGGGACUGAGACACGGCCCAGACUCCUACGGGAGGCAGCAGUAGGGAAUCUUCGGCAAUGGGGGCAACCCUGACCGAGCAACGCCGCGUGAGUGAAGAAGGUUUUCGGAUCGUAAAGCUCUGUUGUAAGUCAAGAACGGGUGUGAGAGUGGAAAGUUCACACUGUGACGGUAGCUUACCAGAAAGGGACGGCUAACUACGUG
rnacentral:rRNA from 1 species